UCUACAAGAGAAAAUGGAGAAAUGAGAGAUUAUUACACAAGUGUCAGAAUCAAGAUAUGUGUUACAGUGUCAGUAAAUUCACCUGAAA